CACUGGCUUAUAGUAGGUCAAGACUGUCUGAAACAAGCCCCUGAAGGCUUCGUAGGUUUUUGUUAAUCUACUUUAAUUAUUCACGCGAAUAAGCGUAUGAUCCAAAAUGUCAAACUUUGAGUCUAAAGGCCUUAAAAGUCAAAAUGUUGACUAAGUGUGUCAUUUGUUUUACUUGAAAAGUUAUAUUUUUGACUCACUAUGGUUUGUACUUUUCCUGGGCUUAAAAUACAGGUUACAUUUUUAUUUUUAUAUUUUAAGACAAUAUUCACAUGCAUGUAUAUUGAAGCCGUUCUUGGUCUCUGUAUUUGUUCCUCUUUUGCAUACUGACUGUGAAGAGAUGCUUUAAUGGAGGACAAAAGCCACUGUCCUUGUUCCAAGCAAAGGCUCUCUAAAGUUCAGCCCGACGCUAAAAUGUGGUUUCAGCAGUCCCAGCUGGGCAAAUCAAAUUCGGGGGAAAAGACCCGGGCAUGGCUUCAGCUGGAGACACAUGCAGCUGAACGUGUUCAUACGGUCUCUCACAGAAGUGGUGGUUUUCGAUGUUGUGCUACGGCCCUGCGGGUUCAGGGCCCAACAGGACUCCGGGCUUGAGCUGCCAGUACGCCUGUCGGGUGGCGGAAUCGCUUCAGAAAGCCCCUCCCCUCACACCUUUCCGACGUUGGAGGCUGUGACCGAUCAUUUCUGUAACUUUCCCGACGUCACAGCUGCGGAGAGGAACGGAGGCGGGGUCUGAGCUUCUCUCUCAGCUCUCCUUUUUCACUCAUUACGCAACCCUGUGAAGGUCUUCCAGGGGAGACCGUUAUGUUUGCGUCUCACCUCUGAUGUCUGGCUUUGCAUGUGGCCAUUCAGAAUAACUGUAAGCACUUUUGCCUUCACGGCCUGCCUUUAAGGGCCCCUGUGUUAUAACCUAGUUUAAAGGCAUUCUUAGUUUCAGUUUUGUGCUUACAUGGUGCAUAUUCCUGAAUUAAUGUGUUUAAUUAAACUACCACAAAGCAAAUCUGUAGAUAGAUAUUACUCCAGCGUGCCCAGAGAGUGGGAGCAAUGGGGGUUAAUAGCAGCCAGUGGCCCCCCAGCAAGUUAAUCCCACCAUGGUUUGGUUUGUGGUUUCCCAAAAUCACCAUAAACAUCUAGUAAUUUAUCAGCACAGACUGACCAUAAAAUAAAAAGCACCUUCCCAGUGGUUGCUUGAAGGAAUGCAAGAGACUUUAUUUAUUGAUUUAUUUACUUUGGAUUGUAAAAACUUGCAAACGUUUCUUGGAUCUCUUUCAAAGUGGCUGCAGAUUAACAGACACAGCGUUUCCCCGCUGGCUGUUUGUCCUGUUUAAUUUGCAGUGAUUACUUCACAUCGUGGACGAAUCGGAAGCUUUAACCCUGAAAAAUCUUUUUCUUUUUCGCUAAAAAUUCACUUAAAGUUUAAAGAACUAAUUUUGGAGUUCAACAACAUUUUUUUUUUUACAACCAACACAUAUUACAUUUACCCAGAAACUGAAUUAUAGUUUCAGAGCAGUUCCUUACGAGGAGCUCACGCUUUGGAAAAGUGUGUACAUCUCAUGUAGACAGAUACAUGUACACGCAGCAAGCUGGGGAAAUCCCUGUCCGUUUCCCAGACUGUUUACUAGCCUAAACAAAGCAGCAGGGGUCAAAGGUCACCAAGUCUAAAAAUAGAGCCUCCGGGGUCAGAGAAUUGAACUGUGCAGCAGCUGGAAAUCCUAAAAAACACACAAACCCCAGACUGGAGCGUGGAUGUAGGGUUUAUGACGUCACUCUGAGGUUUGUAAAACGAUGCAGAAAAAUCCAAAUUUGUGUACAGAAGGCGGCUGAGACUGUCAGUCAGGGAAACACACCACCAAACAUGUCUUAAUAUCUUCUUAAAGAGUUUCCAAAUAUCCACCAUAACUACUGUAAAAUAUUUGGCCCUUCUCGAUACAGAGUACGUCGUGUUCAAACUGAGAAUUCAAGCUUGGCGAGUCGAACUCGGGAGUCCAAACUCACGAGAACGAGAAGACGCAGUGCGAUCAGCUCGUAACUGCGACAGCAGCGGAAGUGGAUCUGUACGUAUAAAGGAGCCGAAAGUCCACAGAGGAAGCACAAUUAUACAACAUGAAAAGCCUCAACUUUACCUUGAAACAAGCUAUUGUAAUUUGGCAGCAACAAAUAAUUAUUACAAAUAAUUUACAAACAGGUAAAUUACCAAAAGGCUGCUGAGAUAAGACUAUGAUUCAGACCGAAAACAGUCCUGGGUUUAAACAACACAAGGAGCUGUGAGAAACCGAUCCACGAGUCUGACGGUUUAUCAGAAGAUACAGUGAGGUGUGGAAAACUAUGAGACAGGAUCUUAAUGCGCUGGAACGUUAUCACAGCGGCAAUCAUUCACACUGCAGAGUAAUCUACCAGGAAUACAGGAUCUGCCUGCUUUGUUUGAUUGGCAAGCGCAGCACCUUGACUUUCUGGUUGAGCCAGGUGAAGCUUUCUUUGCGGACCCCUCUGCACCGGCAGCCCACCUGCGUUGACGGACUGGCCUCAGUCAAAUUAAUGCGGCAGCUGCGUCAGUCUGAAUGCGGCUGUAACGGACAGAGCAGACCGGAGACACCAAGAUGAGACAGGAGGUUUUUAUUGUUCACGAUGCGAACUGACGGUGUAGGAAAGUUACUGAUACCGUCCUUUGGGGAGCUGAACCGGAGAUCUGGGACUGAAGGAAACACACACGGGAGGUUGGAGAAGACCGGGAUCUGGAGCUCGGAGGCCGGUUCGAUGAAGCGAGGUAGGAGUCUGUAACGUUGACUAGGGUGGAUGCCGAGAUCUGUCCUAUUUCCAACGAGACCGGACGCUGACUGAGGGGGGGGUGGUGUUUUAUAGAGGAGUGGAGUGCUGAUUAAGUGCAGGUGUGUGACAGGUGACAGGUGUCUUGGAUUAGUACUCAGGUGAAGGAGUGUGUUGUGUGUGUGAUGUGUUGUGGAGCCUGGCGUGUCUGUGACAGCGGCCUUGUCCCCGGGAUGACCAUGGACCAGCCGGUCUCGCGGGUCCUCACGUCUCCAAAAAAGUCAGGACGCAUUUUCAAGAGGCCGUUAUUUUUGACAAACCGACAACAUGUUCAAAAUCUAAAUAUCUAAUCUAAAUGAUUUGGUGACACAGUAACCAAAUAACGUUUUAGCCUGGGCUCAUGUCCUCCUCCGUCACCGCUGGUUGAAGUGAAAUGCAUGCUGGGAUGUUUGUCUACCCCAAGUUCACACAAGUCAGCUCCCAAUGCAACGGGCGGAGCCCACAGACUGAGAAAGGACAGUUGUAUUUGUAUUUGUGGAGAGAAGAGGGAUUUCCCACAGUCACCCACAUUCCUGUAUUCGUCCAGAAAAUAUGGGAUUUUUGUCAUUAUUGAUUCUUUUUAUUAUUUUCAUGUAAAUAAAUACAUUAUUAUCUCAGCAGACAAUAAAGGAGGCUGCUUUCUUCAGACACGACCGUCCUCGGGGCCCACCUUCAGCGUCUCGCUAUCGCCCUUCUUCUUCCUCUUUGUAUCACAUUUCUCUCCCGUUCUUCUCUUUGUUUCUCAGUCUCACUUUCUUUCUCUUUUUCAGUCCAUCUCUCGUUUCCUCUCCUGUCUUUCUUUCUCUGUUUUCUUGUUAUGCAACAGUGUGGCGGACGGCGAUUAGCAGACAGCGGCAGCUCUGUGUGUGUGUGUGUGUGUGUGUGUGUGUGUGUGUGUGUGUGUGUGUGUGUGUGUGUGCAUGCACCCUGGGGUGUUGGCAGUGUCUUGGGAAUGGGGUGAUCAGGACGUGGGAGCAGACAUAUGCACACACACAGACAUACUGUACACACAGUCCCAGACAAAGCUGAGAAAUGGGUCACUGUUGGCCAGAAGAGAUAUAAUUACACACACCCCUCUCUGCUAUUUACACACACACACACACACACAGUCUCACUCUCCUCCUCGUUCUUUUUGAAUUGCAGAAAAUACCUUCUGUAAGCACAUUCGUGUGCACUAUUGUCUUCGAGAAAUAGUUCAACACUUUGGGAAAUACGCUUGUUCGCUUUCUGGCGGAGAGUUACUGUAGAGGAGUCGACUGACACCAAGCAGCUGGUUAGCUUAGCUUAGCACAAAGACUGGAAACAGCUAGCCGGGCUCUGACCAAAGGUAAAAAAAUUCACCUGCCAGCAUCUCUAAAGCUCACCGAUUAACACAUUACAUGUUGUUUGGUUGAUCCGUACAAAAACCGCUGACGAUUUGCUGUUUCACUGGGGAACCAGCUGCUGGCUUUAGCCUUAUAUUAUGACUUUAUUAUUAUUAUUCCACCAAAAAAGAUGUUCAUCACGCACACCAUCACACCAGAAAGCAGUCUUUGUGCUCAUAAUUUGAGCCAUUAGGUCCAAUGAAAAUGUA